rnacentral:rRNA from 1 species
CUUUGCUGACGAGUGGCGGACGGGUGAGUAAUGUCUGGGAAACUGCCUGAUGGAGGGGGAUAACUACUGGAAACGGUAGCUAAUACCGCAUAACGUCGCAAGACCAAAGAGGGGGACCUUCGGGCCUCUUGCCAUCGGAUGUGCCCAGAUGGGAUUAGCUAGUAGGUGGGGUAACGGCUCACCUAGGCGACGAUCCCUAGCUGGUCUGAGAGGAUGACCAGCCACACUGGAACUGAGACACGGUCCAGACUCCUACGGGAGGCAGCAGUGGGGAAUAUUGCA